CAACAUCAAGAGGAGGAAGUCAAAAAGAAAAGAAUCAUUGCCCUCAAAUCCACAGCUCCACCAGAUGAAGAAACUGAUGACACUGAAGAUGAAGAACAGGAUGAAGAGAUGGCACUCAUUACCCGAAGAUUCAAGAAAUUUUUGAGAAAAAAGAAACAGGGGAUGAGGAAGAGGCCAUUCACAAAAGGGGAAUAGAGCAAAGAAAAAGAGAAAGACCAACCCCUU
rnacentral:lncRNA from 1 species